rnacentral:rRNA from 1 species
GAUGAACGCUAGCGGCAGGCCUAACACAUGCAAGUCGAGGGGUAGAAGGAGCUUGCUCCUUUGAGACCGGCGCACGGGUGCGUAACGCGUAUGCAAUCUACCUUGUACAGGGGAAUAGCCCAGAGAAAUUUGGAUUAAUGCCCCAUAGUAUAUAACCUUCGCAUGUUGGUUAUAUUAAAGUUCCAACGGUACACGAUGAGCAUGCGUCCCAUUAGUUAGUUGGUAAGGUAACGGCUUACCAAGACGAUGAUGGGUAGGGGUCCUGAGAGGGAGAUCCCCCAGACUGGUACUGAGACACGGACCAGACUCGUAGGGGAGGCAGCAGUGAGGAGUAUUGGUCGAUGGUCGCAAGACUGAACCAGCCAUGCCGCGUGCAGGAAGACGGUCGUAGGGAUUGUAAACUGCUUUGAUACAAGAAGAAACCCUACCACGUGUGGGGGCUUGACGGUACUGUAGGAAUAAGGAACGGCUAACUCCGUG